GGCUGCCUGAUCGCUCCUCCCCCUUGCUCUGCUUAGCUUUUGCAAGCAAGGCCUGAAGCUACUUGUACACCAACCUUGUAAGGAUAAAAAGAGCAAUCUCUGAAUGCAGGAAAACCCAAAACUUACAGAAGUAUUCAUCCAGAUUACAGUCUUUUGAGAGUUUAACUCUUUCAAGUUUAGCUUUGGAUCCUUGUCAACCCUGCCAUGCUAUUGCUGAACAUCUGUGGUGCAAUUUGUUGGAAUUAUCCCAGCCCUGAAACAAAGGACUGUUCUUUGACAUCCUUCAAAUAAAGAACUACAAUCUACAAACAUGGACAUCCUUCCUAGCCUAGCUCAAACUGAGAGAAAAGUGCUCUGCACAGGGUACAGGCAUCUUAUGGAAGCUAAGCUGACCUGGAUCUGGUCAAUGUCAAGCUGGAAGACCAAGAGAAAAACCCACAUCGCAUUUGUUUGUCUUCUAUGAUGGAAGAAUAAAAUCUGGAGAAAUCAGAUACUAUUAUCUCACUGGCAUAUAUUUCAGUGUAUGUAUCUGAAUUUUUAUUUGUAUCAUAUAAUGAUUUAUGUGUUAUAAAUAACAAACAUUUUUAAAUGCCAGAUUUUUAUCAUCAUUAUUACCAUCAUCAUCAUCACUACCACCACUUUAUGCCUGGCUGUUAAUGAAGUGUAUGGGAAAUAUGCCAAGGAAUACCCAAAAGAACAUCUGGCACACAUAAAGAAAAUGAUAAAGGGGGGAAGUCAAGCAUAAACAAGGAAACACCCAACUGAGGUUGAUUCAGAGGAGGGCCAACAAGUGAUAGCACUUGGUAAAAUGG
rnacentral:lncRNA from 11 species